AGUGAACGCUGGCGGUAGGCCUAACACAUGCAAGUCGAACGGCAGCACAGUAAGAGCUUGCUCUUACGGGAGGCGACUCUCGGACUGAUGAGGAAAACAUCGGACUCUUCUUUUUCGUUUGGGAUAACGUAGGGCAACUUACGCUAAUACCGCAUACGACCUACGGGUGAAACCAGGGGAUCUUCGGACCUCGCGCGAAUGAAUGAGCCGAUGUCGGAUUAGCUAGUCGGCGGGGUAAAGGCCCACCAAGGCGACGAUCCGUAGCUGGUCUGAGAGGAUGAUCCGCCACACUGGAUCUUAGACACGGUCCAGACUCCUACGGGAGGCAGCAGUGGGGAAUAUUGGACAAUGGGCGCAAGCCUGAUCCAGCCAUACCGCGUGGGUGAAGAAGGCCUUCCGGUUGUAAAACCCUUUUGUUGGGAAAGAAAAGCAGCAGGUUAAUACCCCGCUGCUCUGACGGUACCCAAAGAAUAAGCACCGGCUAACUUCGUG
rnacentral:rRNA from 1 species